GAUGAACGCUGGCGGCGUGCCUAAUACAUGCAAGUCGAGCGAACGGACGAGAAGCUUGCUUCUCUGAUGUUAGCGGCGGACGGGUGAGUAACACGUGGAUAACCUACCUAUAAGACUGGGAUAACUUCGGGAAACCGGAGCUAAUACCGGAUAAUAUUUUGAACCGCAUGGUUCAAAAGUGAAAGACGGUCUUGCUGUCACUUAUAGAUGGAUCCGCGCUGCAUUAGCUAGUUGGUAAGGUAACGGCUUACCAAGGCAACGAUGCAUAGCCGACCUGAGAGGGUGAUCGGCCACACUGGAACUGAGACACGGUCCAGACUCCUACGGGAGGCAGCAGUAGGGAAUCUUCCGCAAUGGGCGAAAGCCUGACGGAGCAACGCCGCGUGAGUGAUGAAGGUCUUCGGAUCGUAAAACUCUGUUAUUAGGGAAGAACAAAUGUGUAAGUAACUAUGCACGUCUUGACGGUACCUAAUCAGAAAGCCACGGCUAACUACGUGCCAGCAGCCGCGGUAAUACGUAGGUGGCAAGCGUUAUCCGGAAUUAUUGGGCGUAAAGCGCGCGUAGGCGGUUUUUUAAGUCUGAUGUGAAAGCCCACGGCUCAACCGUGGAGGGUCAUUGGAAACUGGAAAACUUGAGUGCAGAAGAGGAAAGUGGAAUUCCAUGUGUAGCGGUGAAAUGCGCAGAGAUAUGGAGGAACACCAGUGGCGAAGGCGACUUUCUGGUCUGUAACUGACGCUGAUGUGCGAAAGCGUGGGGAUCAAACAGGAUUAGAUACCCUGGUAGUCCACGCCGUAAACGAUGAGUGCUAAGUGUUAGGGGGUUUCCGCCCCUUAGUGCUGCAGCUAACGCAUUAAGCACUCCGCCUGGGGAGUACGACCGCAAGGUUGAAACUCAAAGGAAUUGACGGGGACCCGCACAAGCGGUGGAGCAUGUGGUUUAAUUCGAAGCAACGCGAAGAACCUUACCAAAUCUUGACAUCCUUUGACAACUCUAGAGAUAGAGCCUUCCCCUUCGGGGGACAAAGUGACAGGUGGUGCAUGGUUGUCGUCAGCUCGUGUCGUGAGAUGUUGGGUUAAGUCCCGCAACGAGCGCAACCCUUAAGCUUAGUUGCCAUCAUUAAGUUGGGCACUCUAAGUUGACUGCCGGUGACAAACCGGAGGAAGGUGGGGAUGACGUCAAAUCAUCAUGCCCCUUAUGAUUUGGGCUACACACGUGCUACAAUGGACAAUACAAAGGGCAGCGAAACCGCGAGGUCAAGCAAAUCCCAUAAAGUUGUUCUCAGUUCGGAUUGUAGUCUGCAACUCGACUACAUGAAGCUGGAAUCGCUAGUAAUCGUAGAUCAGCAUGCUACGGUGAAUACGUUCCCGGGUCU
rnacentral:rRNA from 1 species